UGGGAUUGAAUCUCCUUAAAGAGAGCAAGAUAUCCACGCCUCAGCAGAAGAAGAAGAUAAUUUUUAUUUUUCCUUGCACCUGUAAUUUAUCAGUUGUAAUAUUAUAGUAAUUUCACCAAGUUUAGUAGAAAAAUAAGUUUUACAUAUAUCAUUCCAUAUUGAUGGUGUCCUCCCAAUCCUUCAACACACCUCAUCACUCCACUCCCGUCCCCUUCAUUCCAUAUAACACUCCUAUUCCCCAACCC
rnacentral:lncRNA from 1 species